AGCAGCCGCGGUAAUUCCAGCUCCAAUAGCGUAUAUUAAAGUUGUUGCAGUUAAAAAGCUCGUAGUUGAAUUUCGGGGUUAGUAGGUUGGUCAUGCCUCUGGUAUGUACUGGUCUCACUGAUUCCUCCUUCCUUAUGAACCGUAAUGCCAUUAAUUUGGUGUUGCGGGGAAUUUGGACUGUUACUUUGAAAAAAUUAGAGUGUUUAAAGCAAGCUAACGCUUGAAUACAUUAGCAUGGAAUAAUGAAAUAGGACGUUCGAUCUUAUUUUGUUGGUUUCUAGGAUUGACGUAAUGAUUAAUAGGGAUAGUUGGGGGCAUUAGUAUUCAAUUGUCAGAGGUGAAAUUCUUGGAUUUUAUUGAAGACUAACUACUGCGAAAGCAUUUGCCAAGGAUGUUUUCAUUAAUCAAGAACGAAAGUUAGGGGAUCGAAGACGAUCAGAUACCGUCGUAGUCUUAACCAUAAACUAUGCCGACUAGGGAUCGGAUGAUGUUAAUUUUUUAAUUGAC
rnacentral:sRNA from 1 species